rnacentral:misc_RNA from 1 species
GUCGCCGCCGCCGUCCUUCCCGAUUGCGCCCGCCGAAGCCUCCCUGCCGCGACGAGAAACAAGAGCAGCAGUCCGCCGAUCCCGGCGGGCGACGCGGUCACUGUGCUGAGAUUCCCCCCGGGGAUAUCAGCAGUGAGCACCCGAGCGGGUGGUCAUCCACAGAUCAGACGACCGUGGCCGGCGCCCCCCCCUCCCGGGGGCGUCGGUUCAGAUAUGACCGGUCCCGGCUGUGGCCAGCCGGGAGUCGACGUUCCGUAGGUGAACCUGCGGAAGGAUCAUUACCGAGCGAGGGUCCCCCGGGGCCCGAACCUCCCACCCUUUGUGAACCAUACCUCUUGUUGCUUUGGCGGGCCCGCGGGGCCUCCCGCCGCCGGCCCCGGCCGGCCAGCGCCCGUCAGAGUCCCCCCAAACUCCGUGAACCGUGACGUCUGAGUCCACACUAAAUAGCACAAAACUUUCAACAACGGAUCUCUUGGUUCUG